rnacentral:lncRNA from 1 species
UGGGCAAUAUAGUUUCAUUAAGAAUUAAACACAAGCAAACAAACACAACUUGGAUUCCUUCCUAUACAUGGCCCUCGAAAGAAACGAAAUUUCUUAGCUCGAGCAUAAUGGAACAAUAGGGACCCUGAUUGGUCUUUAUUAGAACAUGAAAUAUGUCAUCCGUACGUAGGGUCGAGUCAUAUAUAUAAAGGGUCUGGUUGGUUGGUUGGUUGGUUGAACAACUCAACUUAAUCAAGAUUUUAUUUUCCUUAGAUUCCUCCUAAUCGAAAAGAGCCAUGUGUUAGGCUAGGCUUCCAAGAAUUCAAUUUGAUUCACAACUAAACUAAUAAAAAAUGAAAAACCACAUGGAAAAUAAGGAAUCCACUAAUAGAGAAGAGUGUACCUUAAUUUUUAUAUAUAUAUCAUAUCAUUCAAGAUGCUAUUGUGACCAAUAUAUGCACCUUAUUGAUACACCAAAACAAGGCCAAACUUAAAAUACAUGAAACCUAGUAGUCAUGCUUGGAUACCUAGAUGCAUAUAUAGUAUAAAUGCCAAAGGAUUGAAGUUGCCCUGAGAGAGAAAUGGAGAUAGGGUAUUGUUGUAAUUGUAAUAAGUUGUACAAAAUGAGGCACCACCCCCAUUUCCUCCAAAUUAAGAUGAACAUAUCAAAGAUCUCUCAUAUCAUGACACCCCUCCCCACCAUCACCACCAUUAGGCAUAAAAUAGCCUAGUUGGAUGGUGGGAAUAAGGCAUAGUGAUUGCUCUAAUUUGUAUUUAAGAGAUAUAGGAAUUGGAGUACCAGAGAGCUUCAAUUCUUCAUGUGGGAAGAAAUUAAACCUGCCUGAUCAUAUAUAAGUAUAAGUAAGGCCAUGAAGUGGUUGAUUGAAAGAGGGUUUUUAAAAGGAGUGAAUGAAUUAGUAAAUAUAUAUAUAUGCAAAAAGGGCAUGUUAGCUUAACGUAUUAGCAUCUUCCAAAGGAUAUGCGACCACUACCUUCAUUC